CCAUUAAAAUUAUAGACUGAUCAUUUCUUUGUCAGUGGGAAAACGUACAAAAUCAGCAGGAGAUCAAAUACUUUUUUCUCUCACUGUAGCAACUGAAUGUACAUCAGCGAUGUUUGCUUCUUAAUUGAUUGUUACAUCCCGAUAAAGUGGAUUGUUUUGAAUUAUCCAGUUGAGUGGAUUGUAAACUUGUUCCCGAUUUAUAGAGAAAUCACGUGUGAUGUUGAGAUUGUCAAGAUGUUUUGUGAUGACAACCAUUACAGUAUUAUCCAUUGUUCGUGGAAGUUUGUCACUUACUUGAAAGAUGUCCAUAGCAAAGAGCACUGCCUGUCCACGGAAGCCAUAUUGACCGAAGACUCCACGUAAUUUGAUGAUCUUGACAAAUGGUAGAACUCUUGAUAAUAGACGUUGUUCUGGCUGUGUUAAGACUGGAAUCACAUCUUGAAUUUCACGAGAAUCCAAAUUAUUCCAGUGAGCUUUUGGCGGUACAGCUCUUGUCACUGUUGAUGUGUCUUGCAACGUGAACACAUUUCCAAUGGUUGCUUUGAUGACAAUGUGGUUUGUAGAUAGUGCAAUGUAUUUUCAUUACGUCGUACUCUGUAAAUCUGAUUUGGACAAGAGCGUUUGAUGUAGACUUCACAGAUUUUAUGACUAUGUAUUGAUUGCAUUGUCAAAUGUUGUCAUGUCAGCAUUGAGUGUUUGAAGACGUUGCUAUUGAUAGACGAUUUCGCUUUAAUAUAACAUCACGUGCUUCAAGUCUUUCUGCAACUCUGAAUUGUCACAUGUGUGCACGCACAGAUUGCAAUCGACCAUCACGAGCUUCUGGUGUUUCUUGAUUUCUUGAUUGUAUGUGAUGUUGACGGUCUUGUUGCAAUAGGACGUUACGUGCUUCUGGUGUUUCAUCAUGAAAACGAUCACGUCGUUUGUCAAGUCUGGUGCGCUUUGCCUCUUCAUCUUCAUUAACACGCUUUUCUUGAUUAUGGAUGAGGCAGCAUCUCAAGUUGACUUUCCUGAGUUUGAGUCGGUACCAGGUGGAUCGUCUCUGCAAAGGUAUGUGUUCACGUUUCAAUUUAAGCCAAACUUUUGACUUACAGCUUACUUUUCUUAAAUCAGUAUUGAAAAGUAGAUACUAUAUUGGCUAUUGUUGUGUAUAUGCCUUUUCCAUCUUAAUAUUAACAAGUAUUUUUUUGAUAUAUAGAUACAUAUUUCUCUUGGUUUUUUUUUUCAUUUUAAUAAUGAAUGAAAACAGUCCCGAGUCCCUCAGCAACAGCAGGUACAGGUCAGGGACGUGCCAGGGAAUUAAAAUAAUACCUCCCAGGGUCAGAGGUCACCAACCAAGUGCUGAAAAGCGGAUUCCAAGGGACUGAGGUAAGCGCCUGAAGGCCAGGCCAUUAUCACAGGCUGUGUGCAUAAGGGGAGCUAACUUAAACAACCCGCACGUCUGAACGUGAGGGGGCCGUUGAUCUGAAAUUAAGAAUAAUGACUCCCAGAGCAGAAGGUGGGAUGGCCUCGGUGAAAGAAUAAGAGUUGUAUAUCUCUCAAGGACGCAGACUCGGCUAAGCAGCAUAAGCACAAGCUGCAGGGUUGACGUGAGCGGAGCCAGGGUCACCAGGAGUUUGCGUUGGCCUGGACAUAGUUAAGUCAAAAAGCUCAUGUACCCUGUGGUACUAUUAAAGUAACGUUAAAGUUCGGGAUUCAAUGACAAAAGUGGCGUAACAUGGUCAAUCAUCACACCCACUCCUAUUGGCAACCAGUCAACCAUCACCCGUCUAUUAAUUCAAUAUGAAAUGUUAUUUACAUAUUUUAAUAAUUUCUAUACAACUUGACUCGAAGCAUAUGACAAUCAGAAUUUUCCUCAGUCAAAGUGAAUGCUAUAACCUCCAGACAUAAACGAAUAUAAGCAGAGUUAAUAUAAGGUUGGAGAGGAAGAAAAACAAGCGCACCGCAAAAUUACAAACGUAAGCUAAACUGGAAACCCAAGGACGUGGAGAAGGAGGCAAAUGAAUGCCAGCUGGUAAAGCUGACAUCGGGACGCUAGAGAUAAGAAUAAGAGUGGCAUGAAUCAAACAACUCAUUAUCGCUGCCACCUGCACUCAACAAGGCUGAAAACGGCGAUCACUAACCCGCCCUCACCUACACGGAGUGACGGAAAUUAAUGAGGCUUUGAAUUGGCGGCGUCAGCGAGACAGCGGCCACAACACGCUAGAGAGAGUGUGGGGCAGAGACUGAGAGAAACAGCAAGCAGGAAUAUGGGCGGGGGCUUGGAAUGUCAGCGUGUCAGCAAAAACCCUAGCAAGUUUUUAAGUAAGAUGAAACAUUACAUUGUGGAAUCCAUAACAUUCAUGUGGGUGCUAUUCACCGUGAACUAUACUAAGCUUAUGUUCUUAGCUCUUUCGGUAAAGUGUAUGUUUGAGUGAUAUUCGUAAAAUUUAUACUAAGCUUACAAAAAACCUAAACUGCACAAUGACUUGGGCGAUGUUAAACCCAGGGUCGGAGAGAAAGGGAGAUCCCGGCCGUCUUUGUAUCCCCACAGCGCGGGGUAGGAGUGUGUAUAAGCUCGGGAAAACACCUUCCCUUGAGUCAGACACCACGAUGGAAACGACACAGAUCUCGGGUUACAUACCGAGUCAUAAUUGUGGAACUGUGGUGAAAUGAAAAUGUUAACUUAAAACUUUUUAACCCUUCCCUUGUGUGUCGGGGAUAUGACAUGCAGGGAGGAAAGCUUGCCCUCCCUCUCUCGUACCGGCAGACAGAGAGGCAGACCGAGAGGCACCUUCGAGACAAUUUGUAACAUCUGAUUGUUUUACUUUUGGUGUUUUAUGGAAGGAGGGUUAGAACGGAAUAUGCCGUGGGUGAUGCGCACAAGGACACACUGACACAAGUACGGACACAUACAUACGGAUAGAUCAUGACACAGCAAAAUCAAAAGAAGCCCCGCCUUGUGGGCAGGAUCCAAGUGAAGGGAUUUUUGGCAUAAAAGAGAACGCUACAGCAUUGAAACCUCAGUUCGACCGGGGGGGGGGGGGGGUCGACUCACCAGGGAGUUCGACCAGUUCGGUCGGAACUCGGGGGAGUUCGGCCGGCUCACUGGAGCCGGCCCAUCGGGGCAGUUCGACCGGGGGGUCGGCUCAGGAGUGAGCUGCGGCCAGCAGCUCAGCUCUGCUCCGACCUCAUCAUCAGCAAGGGCUAAAAGCAGCUCGGCUCAUCAGCCAGAGGGGCUUCUACCAGCUCGGCAUCUGCCAGCAGGGCAGAGUGCGCCGUCAACCACAGUGCGCCGUCAACUACAGUGUGCCGUCAACCACAGAGCGCCGUCCGCCACCGCGUGCCAUCAGCCACCAGAGAGCAGCGCAGCCAUCCAGCAGUGAAGAGGAUCUGCUGCCUGCGGCUCCCCGUGCUGCGCGUGUCCGAGCUGCACCAGGAGUGGGCAGCGUGCCAUCUCUCCUCCCCAGCCGAGGACAGAGGCUGGCCGCCGUGUGGAGGAGUGCCGAGCUGUCCGUAUGAUACACCCCCCAUGCACCCUCACCGCUCUAAAGGGAGCGAGUAUACUUUUCCUACAAGGGAUGCCAACGUCGGCGUAUGUUAACGCAAGAAGACCAACCACACUCACAUUAUCCUAUAAAAAAAGAACUCAACGAUACGAUGAUGCGCUAUGCCCCCCACUACACGACCAAUCUGACGUUCGCUUGACCUAAAGACUCAACUCCAAACACUGACUAUUCAAAACAAUUAAUAUCACUCAAACAUACACGGGUCCUUAACCACUCAAGUCCAUAGGCCAUCAGUGGCUGUGAAGGCAUCACAACGAGACCGAGUGAUAACCAUCCGUCGUUUAUAAGUAUAUUCAUAAUUUUCCUCUUUAAUAUUUAGUGGGCUGUACUCUUAAUCGCAUAAAUUCCCAACAGAUCCAUCAAUACGAAUUGAUUCUUGACACCUUCCGCAGAGCCACACUCACGUGGGGAAUGGUGUGUCCCACCAGAUCCUUAUCAGGCGAUCUGGUCCACAAUUAAUUAAAACUUGGUAUAAGGUAAAGAUCUUCGGGGAAAAAGAGCACACCAUCGCAUGCCCUUACUCAAAGCCAUUCUGUAGUCAGAUAAUCUGCCGAUGUAUCUGUUGAGAUUUGUGCCUUUAAGAAUAAUAACUGUUUUUGAUUGUUUUUGUUAUCGCCGUAUAAUCUUUAAAGUACCUUUCGUUCAUAAUCGCCGCACGUACUGGCGUACUCUACAGACUACUCAACUGUUCUGUGACCCAAUGUGCUAACAACGUGAUAAGGGUUGCAUACGAUCAAUAAGGAGUGCGGUACUGCGUGAACAAUUUAAGUAUAAUUAUUUAUUAUAAAGUUAAGGUUUUUGUUUAGCAUAGCAUUUGCAUGUUUUAACGACUCUCUCUCACUAAUAACAACAAUCGCGUUAUGCGGGAUCCAUGUGCCGUUGUCAAAGUGAAAUCGUGCAGUCGUUGAUGAUACUGUAUUGAUACCGUGUUGACGUUCCGAGAUUGAGAGUUCACAUACGAUUGAUUGCAUUAUCCCGAUUGAUAACACCACCUCGUCAACGAGGCGGGGCCUGAUUAUCAUAAAGGCUAUCAUUCACAUAACCACACCCAUUCGUAUAAAUUAAUACGAUUAUCUCUCGUAUUAGCAUAAUGUAUACGCAUAAGUACACAAAUUAACAUAGUUUCGGAUUAAUUAUGCAAAUUUCAUUUAAUUUUCAUGAUUUUUCAUCAAUUUUCACACACCCACAUAUACAACACUAUUGUGAUUGCAUUUGUUGAGUUAUGACCUGUUCCACAGAUAAAAUGUUUCUUACUCGCAAGCCGGUUCCUUAUUUAAAAUGUAUACUGCAUUCUCGUGUUAUUUAUUGUCAAAUAUUCUAACACCGCUGCUAGACUUCCUUUCGUAAGACAUCCUCUAUGCAUCUUAUAAUCCAUCCAGCACAUUAUAUCAGCAGCAAAUACGUAUUCUGGCUGGUGAACCAAGUAAUUUUCUCUCAAAUAUCGUGUCUCUUCUCAGGGCCCUGUACCACCUGUCGCGUCUGAAAGAGCUGGUUGACACCAUCAAGGAGAACAAGGAUGGCUGACUACCCGUGAUAUAGAAAGCCCGAAAGCAUUUUACAGCGGUGGUCGAGGUUUGUCCUCAAGAAGGAUACGUUCGCUUGGUCCUCCUGCUAAUUCAUGGUUCUUAAACGUCAAUGGUACACCAGGCGCUGUGGUGUGAAUCGCAUUGCAAAAAUGUGAAGUUCGUUCAGGGUUGGAGUUAGUGAAUGGUUGCAGCAGUAUUUUGCACAGCAACGCCAUAAGACUCAAACGUCACUUUGAAAGAGAA